rnacentral:rRNA from 1 species
GGCCGCGGGAAUUCGAUUCUGGCCUAACACAUGCAAGUCGAGCGAUUCUCUUCGGAGAAGAGCGGCGGACGGGUGAGUAACGCGUGGGUAACCUGCCCUGUACACACGGAUAACAUACCGAAAGGUAUGCUAAUACGAGAUAAUAUGCUUUUAUCGCAUGGUAGAAGUAUCAAAGCUCCGGCGGUACAGGAUGGGCCCGCGUCUGAUUAGCUAGUUGGUGAGGUAACGGCUCACCAAGGCGACGAUCAGUAGCCGACCUGAGAGGGUGAUCGGCCACAUUGGAACUGAGACACGGUCCAAACUCCUACGGGAGGCAGCAGUGGGGAAUAUUGCACAAGGGGCGAAAGCCUGAUGCAGCAACGCCGC